GUUUGAGAAGCAGAUUCGGGACCAUUGGUAUCAGAUGCAAGAAAUCCAAUGACAUUUCCAGAAGUCGAGGGAACCAAGGUUGUAUCUGCCACAGUGGAGCAACCAUCACCAGAGAACAUUCAUGUCUGCACAGGUAAGAUUGCGUCUGAGAGAUGAGGUUGAACGGGGGAAAGGUGUAGUGUCGUGAGGGUGGCCACAUCUGUAGGAAGGCUCCCACUGC